rnacentral:rRNA from 1 species
UACGGAGGAUCCAAGCGUUAUCCGGAUUUAUUGGGUUAAAGGGUGCGUAGGUGGUUCUUUAAGUCAGGGGUGAAAGACGGUAGCUUAACUAUCGCAGUGCCUUUGAUACUGAAGAACUUGAAUACACUAGAGGUAGGCGGAAUGUGACAAGUAGCGGUGAAAUGCAUAGAUAUGUCACAGAACACCAAUUGCGAAGGCAGCUUACUAUGGUGUCAUUGACACUGAGGCACGAAAGCGUGGGGAUCAAACAGG